GAUGAACGCUAGCGGGAGGCUUAACACAUGCAAGUCGAGGGGCAGCAUAAGGGUAGUAAUACUCUGGUGGCGACCGGCAGACGGGUGAGUAACGCGUAUGCAACCUACCCUGUACAGGGGGAUAACCCGGAGAAAUUCGGACUAAUACCCCAUAAUUUUAUCUAAGGGCAUCCUUGGAUAAUUAAAGUUCCGGCGGUACGGGAUGGGCAUGCGUAACAUUAGCUAGUUGGUAAGGUAACGGCUUACCAAGGCUUUGAUGUUUAGGGGUCCUGAGAGGGUGAUCCCCCACACUGGUACUGAGACACGGACCAGACUCCUACGGGUGGCUG
rnacentral:rRNA from 1 species